rnacentral:rRNA from 1 species
CCCGGGCCUUGUACACACCGCCCGUCACACCAUGGGAGUGGAAUCCGCCAGAAGUAGGUAGUCUAACCGCAAGGGGACGCUUACCACGGUAGGUUUCAUGACUGGGGUG